rnacentral:rRNA from 1 species
CGUCAAAUCAUCAUGCCCCUUAUGUCCUGGGCUACACACGUACUACAAUGGCGGUUAACAACGGGAAGCGAAGUCGCGAGGCGGAGCAAAACCCCAAAAGCCGUCCCAGUUCGGAUUGCAGGCUGAAACUCGCCUGUAUGAAGUCGGAAUUGCUAGUAAUCGCGGAUCAGCAUGCCGCGGUGAAUACGUUCCCGGGCCUU